CAACAGGGAUUGCCCCAGUAACGGCGAGUGAAGCGGCAACAGCUCAAAUUUGAAAUCUGGCCCCUAGGGUCCGAGUUGUAAUUUGCAGAGGAUGCUUUUGACAAGGUGCCUUCCGAGUUCCCUGGAACGGGACGCCAUAGAGGGUGAGAGCCCCGUCUGGUCGGAUACCGCGUCUCUGUAAAGCUCCUUCGACGAGUCGAGUAGUUUGGGAAUGCUGCUCAAAAUGGGAGGUAUAUGUCUUCUAAAGCUAAAUAUUGGCCAGAGACCGAUAGCGCACAAGUAGAGUGAUCGAAAGAUGAAAAGCACUUUGAAAAGAGGGUUAAAAAGUACGUGAAAUUGUUGAAAGGGAAGCGCCUAUGACCAGACUUGGGCCCGGUGAAUCAUCCAGCGUUCUCGCUGGUGCACUUUGCCGGGCACAGGCCAGCAUCAGUUUGGCUUGGGGGAAAAAGGCUUUGGGAACGUAGCUCCUCGGAGUGUUAUAGACCAUUGCAUAAUACCCUGGGCCGGACUGAGGUUCGCGCAUCUGCAAGGAUGCUGGCGUAAUGGUCAUCAGCGACCCGUCUUGAAACACGGACCAAGGAGUCGUCUUCGUAUGCGAGUGUUCGGGUGUAAAACCCCUACGCGUAAUGAAAGUGAACGCAGGUGAGAGCUUCGGCGCAUCAUCGACCGAUCCUGAUGUUCUCGGAUGGAUUUGAGUAAGAGCAUACGGGGCCGGACCCGAAAGAAGGUGAACUAUGCCUGUAUAGGGUGAAGCCAGAGGAAACUCUGGUGGAGGCUCGCAGCGGUUCUGACGUGCGAAUCGAUCGUCAAAUAUGGGCAUGGGGGCGAAAGACUAAUCGAA
rnacentral:rRNA from 2 species